rnacentral:rRNA from 1 species
CCUACGGGUGGCAGCAGUGGGGAAUAUUGGGCAAUGGAGGAAACUCUGACCCAGCAAUGCCGCGUGAAUGAAGAAGGUCUUCGGAUUGUAAAGUUCUUUAGUCAGGGAGGAAGUCAGUGACGGUACCUGAAGAAUAAGCUCCGGCUAACUACGUGCCAGCAGCCGCGGUAAUACGUACGGAGCAAGCGUUGUUCGGAAUGACUGGGCGUAAAGGGUGCGUUGGCGGUUGUACUAGUUAGAAGUGAAAUACCCAGGGCUUAACUCGGGUGCUGCUUCUAAAACUGGAUGACUUGAGUGCAGUAGAGGGUAGUGGAAUUCCUAGUGUAGCGGUGGAAUGCGUAGAUAUCAGGAGGAACACCAGAGGCGAAGGCGGCUAACUGGACUGCAACUGACGCUGAGGUACGAAAGUGUGGGGAGCAAACAGGAUUAGAUACCCUUGUAGUC